AAAUUAUUUUCUUUUGCAAACUGUAGGGCUCAUGCAUUAGAUACAAAUAAAGUGCAUGCAUAUGACUUCCUGAGAGACACUGUUUCAGUCACUGUGUAUCAGUUACUUGUUGAGUAACCUGUCUAACCAUAAAUAUAAACUGUGAAAAAGACAAAAAGUAUUGGGCCAACUCAAGUAUCUGGCUGUUCAUGCUUGGCUUCGUUAAUCCAGAGCCCUUCUCAAAUUCAGU
rnacentral:misc_RNA from 1 species